CAGUGAUCAGGAAGACAAAGCUGAUUGACUUCCAGCUGCAUCUGAGCCACCGUAGUUACUGCAGAUGUCACAUUUAGCACUGGAUUGUGAAAUGCUCGAAAACUGGAACCAUAGGAGCAUUAUUUAAUGCUAAGUGUUAUCCACAUCAUAUCUGAAGCUUGAACAUGCCAGGAAAACAUCCUUCACAUUCUGCAACUAAUCUAUCUGAGCUUUCAGGAUCAAUCGUGAAUUGGCUGGGGAACUGUUUAUAUUCAUAUUGUAAACCUGUGUUACUGUUGUGUCCUUCUUGUGAACCAGACCCCUCGUGGAGAGUUUUUUGGAGCCUUUUAUCUACGAAUUCAUCUAUGAACAAUGCUCUCUCUUUGCCUGCAAGGAGGAAAGGAUGGGAAGAAGGGUGUUAG
rnacentral:lncRNA from 1 species